rnacentral:rRNA from 1 species
CGUGGCGAACGGGUGCGUAACACGUGGAUAACCUUCCUUCAGGUGGGGAAUAACCCAGUGAAAAUUGGGCUAAUACCGCAUAACAAGACGAGGGCACAUGCUUUUGUCUUCAAAGGCGCAAGUCGCCAGAAGAGGGAUCCGCGGCCGAUUAGCUUGUUGGCGGGGUAACGGCCCACCAAGGCAGUGAUCGGUAGCCGGACUGAGAGGUUGACCGGCCACACUGGAACUGAGACACGGUCCAGACUCCUACGGGAGGCAGCAGUGGGGAAUCUUGCACAAUGGGCGAAAGCCUGAUGCAGCAACGCCGCGUGGGGGAUGAAGCUUCUCGGAGUGUAAACCCCUUUCGACCCGGACGAAUGCCCGCAAGGGCUUGACGGUACGGGUAUAAGAAGCCCCGGCUAACUACGUGCCAGCAGCCGCGGUAAUACGUAGGGGGCCAGCGUUGCUCGGAAUUACUGGGCGUAAAGGGUCCGUAGGCGGUGUGGCAAGUCGGGAGUGAAAUCUCUGGGCUUAACUCAGAGGCUGCUUCCGAAACUGCCGUGCUAGAGUGUGAGAGAGGCAAGUGGAAUUGCGGGUGUAGCGGUGAAAUGCGUAGAUAUCCGCAGGAACAUCCGAGGCGAAAGCGGCUUGCUGGAUCACAACUGACGCUGAGGGACGAAAGCUAGGGGAGCAAACAGGAUUAGAUACCCUGGUAGUCCUAGCCCUAAACCAUCAGGACUUGGGGUUUGCCCUGUACGGGGCAAGUCCCGUAGCUAACGCGUUAAGUCCUGCGCCUGGGGAGUACGGUCGCAAGACUGAAACUCAAAGGAAUUGACGGGGGCCCGCACAAGCGGUGGAACAUGUGGUUCAAUUCGA